AAAUUGAAGAGUUUGAUCAUGGCUCAGAUUGAACGCUGGCGGCAGGCCUAACACAUGCAAGUCGAGCGGUAGCACAGAGAGCUUGCUCUCGGGUGACGAGCGGCGGACGGGUGAGUAAUGUCUGGGAAACUGCCUGAUGGAGGGGGAUAACUACUGGAAACGGUAGCUAAUACCGCAUAACGUCGCAAGACCAAAGUGGGGGACCUUCGGGCCUCAUGCCAUCAGAUGUGCCCAGAUGGGAUUAGCUAGUAGGUGGGGUAACGGCUCACCUAGGCGACGAUCCCUAGCUGGUCUGAGAGGAUGACCAGCCACACUGGAACUGAGACACGGUCCAGACUCCUACGGGAGGCAGCAGUGGGGAAUAUUGCACAAUGGGCGCAAGCCUGAUGCAGCCAUGCCGCGUGUGUGAAGAAGGCCUUCGGGUUGUAAAGCACUUUCAGCGGGGAGGAAGGCGGUGAGGUUAAUAACCUCACCGAUUGACGUUACCCGCAGAAGAAGCACCGGCUAACUCCGUGCCAGCAGCCGCGGUAAUACGGAGGGUGCAAGCGUUAAUCGGAAUUACUGGGCGUAAAGCGCACGCAGGCGGUCUGUCAAGUCGGAUGUGAAAUCCCCGGGCUCAACCUGGGAACUGCAUUCGAAACUGGCAGGCUAGAGUCUUGUAGAGGGGGGUAGAAUUCCAGGUGUAGCGGUGAAAUGCGUAGAGAUCUGGAGGAAUACCGGUGGCGAAGGCGGCCCCCUGGACAAAGACUGACGCUCAGGUGCGAAAGCGUGGGGAGCAAACAGGAUUAGAUACCCUGGUAGUCCACGCUGUAAACGAUGUCGAUUUGGAGGUUGUGCCCUUGAGGCGUGGCUUCCGGAGCUAACGCGUUAAAUCGACCGCCUGGGGAGUACGGCCGCAAGGUUAAAACUCAAAUGAAUUGACGGGGGCCCGCACAAGCGGUGGAGCAUGUGGUUUAAUUCGAUGCAACGCGAAGAACCUUACCUGGUCUUGACAUCCACAGAACUUUCCAGAGAUGGAUUGGUGCCUUCGGGAACUGUGAGACAGGUGCUGCAUGGCUGUCGUCAGCUCGUGUUGUGAAAUGUUGGGUUAAGUCCCGCAACGAGCGCAACCCUUAUCCUUUGUUGCCAGCGGUUAGGCCGGGAACUCAAAGGAGACUGCCAGUGAUAAACUGGAGGAAGGUGGGGAUGACGUCAAGUCAUCAUGGCCCUUACGACCAGGGCUACACACGUGCUACAAUGGCAUAUACAAAGAGAAGCGACCUCGCGAGAGCAAGCGGACCUCAUAAAGUAUGUCGUAGUCCGGAUUGGAGUCUGCAACUCGACUCCAUGAAGUCGGAAUCGCUAGUAAUCGUAGAUCAGAAUGCUACGGUGAAUACGUUCCCGGGCCUUGUACACACCGCCCGUCACACCAUGGGAGUGGGUUGCAAAAGAAGUAGGUAGCUUAACCUUCGGGAGGGCGCUUACCACUUUGUGAUUCAUGACUGGGGUGAAGUCGUAACAAGGUAACCGUAGGGGAACCUGCGGUUGGAUCACCUCCUUACCUUAAAGAA
rnacentral:rRNA from 2 species